GUAGGUGGCAAGCGUUGUCCGGAUUUACUGGGCGUAAAGGAUGCGUAGGCGGAUUUUAAGUGAGAUGUGAAAUACCCGGGGCUUAACUUGGGUGCUGCAUUUCAAACUGGGAAUCUAGAGUGCGGGAGAGGAGAAUGGAAUUCCUAGUGUAGCGGUGAAAUGCGUAGAGAUUAGGAAGAACACCAGUGGCGAAGGCGAUUCUCUGGACCGUAACUGACGCUGAGGCAUGAAAGCGUGGGUAGCAAACAGGAUUAGAUACCCUGGUAGUCCACGCCGUAAACGAUGAGUACUAGGUGUAGGAGGUAUCGACCCCUUCUGUGCCGCAGUUAACACAAUAAGUACUCCGCCUGGGAAGUACGAUCGCAAGAUUA
rnacentral:rRNA from 1 species